rnacentral:rRNA from 1 species
UUGACUUGGGACUCGGACUUCCGAGCGAAGCUUUA